UACGUAGGGGGCAAGCGUUGUCCGGAAUCAUUGGGCGUAAAGAGCGUGUAGGCGGCCCGAUAAGUCCGCUGUGAAAGUCCAGGGCUCAACCCUGGGAUGCCGGUGGAUACUGUCGGGCUCGAGUCCGGAAGAGGCGAGUGGAAUUCCUGGUGUAGCGGUGAAAUGCGCAGAUAUCAGGAGGAACACCAAUGGCGAAGGCAGCUCGCUGGGACGUAACUGACACUGAGGCGCGAAAGCGUGGGGAGCGAACAGG
rnacentral:rRNA from 1 species